rnacentral:rRNA from 1 species
UACGGGGGGGGCAAGCGUUGUUCGGAAUUACUGGGCGUAAAGGGCUCGUAGGCGGCCAACUAAGUCGGACGUGAAAUCCCUCAGCUUAACUGGGGAACUGCGUCCGAUACUGGAUGGCUUGGAUGUGGGAGAGGGAUGCGGAAUUCCAGGUGUAGCGGUGAAAUGCGUAGAUAUCUGGAGGAACACCGGUGGCGAAGGCGGCAUCCUGGACCAAUAUUGACGCUGAGGAGCGAAAGCCAGGGGAGCAAACGGG